rfam:Lactobacillus namurensis DSM 19117 NODE_160, whole genome shotgun sequence.
UGCGAUGAGUCGAGAAAUCACGGGUUAUUGGUUCGCCAAUAACUUCUGCGCAAGCGGCUAGGUGAAUUUUUGAUGGUGGGGUACAGAUGUCACCGGAUUUGUGACGUACUUGAUUUUGCGGGAAUGUGGAUUCC